AUAUGUAUGUGUGCAUAAACACGUGUAUAUGUGUGUGUACAGACAUACAUGUUUACACAUAUUAGCGUGCUGAUAAAUCAAUACAAA
rnacentral:miRNA from 1 species